GCAACCCACCACUGGAGGCUACAGGCUCUUUGGUGGGGCUAAUGGUGGACUCCAGGAGGGCUCACACCAAUGGGUACUUUCCAGAACUUCUGCUGCCAGUGUCCUUGUCCCCACAGUGAGCCACAGCUGCCCCCUGCCUCUGCAAAAGACCCUCCAACAUUAGCAGAGUGUGUGGUUCCAGUGAAGGCUGCCAAUCAUCUUAACAUCUCGUUGGUCACAGAGAUGGGUGCAUGACCUAAGCUGGACCAAUGGGAGUGACAAAGUUGGGAGAUGGAAACUUGGGAGCCCCUGGAAGUCAUGGGAUCAUCCUCAGGAAAGCCAAUGUGCAGAAGGCAGCAAAGACUGAAAGAAGGGUCCUGAAGGUUUAUGAACUUACUACUAAAGAUGAAACCGAAACAGAGAGAUUUUAAGUAAUGUGCCUGAGGUCACACAGCUAGAAAGUGGCAGAACCAGACAGUUUUUCUGUCUCCAGAUAGCUCCUAAUCAUUACAUGGAAACAAUAAACACGGGAAAAAAAGAGAAGAAAAGACAAGAAGAAGAGAGAAAGAAAGGAGAAGAAAACUCAGGAAAAGAUAAGGAAUAUGUGCCACACGAAGUUUGCAACCCUUAUGACAUUUUCUGAACUGGUUAGUUAUAACUGGAUUUUACUCGGGGUAAUCAACAAGGAAACAGAUGGGUCCUCUAAGACCUCGGCUAUCAUCUGAGUGAAUCGGCUGUUUCCUGGAUUAGGAUGGUUAUUCUUGUGUUCAAAAGAACUGGGAAAUAUUUAGGGCUGGUUUUCAGAAGGAAAGAAACACUACAAAUCACCCAAUGAACAGUGCUCUGGCAGUGCUACCAGGUCUUCUCUUGCUGCAUUAUGUCUCUACGCAAUUUUCCCCUUUGGUAGAGAGCAUGGCAUAUCUCAUAAUCCAAAUUAAGAGGGUAGUCAAACCAUAUUGUGGAACGCUGUUUGAAUACCAUGACAUUAACAGUUUGUCUAUAUGAAACCCCAAGACUAUUGCCAGAGGCUGAAAAUAUUCUGAGUCUCAGACAAGUUCAUAUCCUGCUGAAGACCUUAGCCCACCAUAAUAAGGUAAUCCCUUCAAUAACUCCCCCCUGACAGGUUUUAUAUGAUCAUUUCUGACACACUUGCUACAGUCAUUGUGAAUUCUCAAUACAAGACUUUUAUUGCAACCUUUUUGUUAGGGAGAAUUUCAAUUUCCAGAAUUUUAGUGUUAUGCCUCAAGUAAGACAAAAUCCUAGCACCUAAUUAUUAUAGGCUAUUCCUUUUCUCGAGGAACUAUUCCCCGCCAAAUGUCUCAGUGAAUGUACCGAUAAGAAUAAGGAGUGGAAUAAA